CCCCCCAAAAGUGUCAGAGUGAUGUAUGCACAGGGGAUAGUAGCUUUGUUUCCCUAUCUAGAAGACCCAUACUCACAACAUGGAUAUGAUCAUUACUACGAUCCGGAGAGUGGUUCCGGAUACCUUGCAUGGCGAUUGAAGACCAUACAAAGAAAAACAGCAGAGGAAAGAGGUGCCUCAGUCAGCAAAUCUCCUAAAGUUGGUGGGCCAGGCCGUGAUCGUCAGCCCUUCACCUAUGACAGA